CCAAAGGCUCUUUUCAGAGCCACCUACUUUUUCACUGUAAGAGUUGU
rfam:Cavia porcellus supercont2_38 genomic scaffold, whole genome shotgun sequence.